rnacentral:rRNA from 1 species
UGCCAGCCGCCGCGGUAAUACGGAGGGUGCAAGCGUUGUUCGGAAUUACUCGGCGUAAAGCGCGGGCAGGUGGCGCGUUAGGUCUUCUGUGAAAACCCGGGGCUCAACCCCGUGGUCCGCAGAAGAUACUGGCGCGCUAGAGUAUGGUAGAGGCAGGCGGAAUUCCUGGUGUAGCGGUGGAAUGCGUAGAUAUCAGGAAGAACACCUGUGGCGAAGGCGGCCUGCUGGGCCAUUACUGACACUCAUCCGCGAAAGCGUGGGGAGCAAACAGGAUUAGAUA